rfam:Picea glauca, whole genome shotgun sequence.
ACAUGCCUACAACAUAGCGUUAAUGCAAUUGAUCGCAUUAGAACUCCAUAGUUAAGUGCGAUAGGGAUAGAGUAGUACUAGGAUAGGUGAACGCCUGGGAAUUCCUAGUGUUUUACAUGCC